AAGCAUAUCAAUAAGCGGAGGAAANGAAACUAACAAGGAUUCCCCUAGUAACUGCGAGUGAAGCGGGAAAAGCUCAAAUUUAAAAUCUGGCGGUCUUUGGCCGUCCGAGUUGUAAUCUAGAGAAGCGUCUUCCGUGCCGGACCGUGUACAAAUCUCUUGGAACAGAGUAUCAUAGAGGGUGAGAAUCCCGUCUUUGACAUGGACUACCGGUGCUUUGUGAUGCGCUCUCAAAGAGUCGCGUUGUUUGGGAAUGCAGCGCAAAAUGGGUGGUGAAUUCCAUCUAAAGCUAAAUAUUGGCGAGAGACCGAUAGCGAACAAGUACCGUGAGGGAAAGAUGAAAAGCACUUUGGAAAGAGAGUUAAACAGUACGUGAAAUUGUUGAAAGGGAAACGCUUGAAGUCAGUCGCGUCURGCGGAACUCAGCCUUGCUUUUGCUUGGUGCACUUUCCGUUUGACGGGCCAGCAUCGAUUUUGACCGCUGGAUAAAGUUCAAGGGAAUGUGGCACCCUCGGGUGUGUUAUAGCCUUUGUUCGCAUACAGCGGUUGGGAUCGAGGUUCGCAGCACGCCUUUUGGCCGGGGUUCGCCCACGUACGUGCUUAGGAUGCUGGCGUAAUGGCUUUAAACGACCCGUCUUGAAACACGGACCAAGGAGUCUAACAUGCCUGCGAGUGUUUGGGUGGNNAANCCAUGCGCGUAAUGAAAGUAAUAGUUGAGAUCCCUGUCGUGGGGAGCAUCGACGCCCGGUUUUGAGCNUCGGCGACGAAUCNGAGGUAGAGCAUGUAUGUUGNGACCCGAWAGAUGGUGAACUAUGCCUGAAUAGGGUGAAGCCAGAGGAAACUCUGGUGGAGGCUCGUAGCGAKUCUGACGUGCAAAUCGAUCGUCAAAUUUGGGUAUAGGGGCGAAAGACUAAUCGAACCAUCUAGUAGCUGGNUNCUGCGAAGUUUCCCUCAGGAUAGCAGAAACUCGUAUCAGAUUUAUGUGGUAAAGCGAAUAGAUUAGAGGCCUUGGGGUUGAAACAACCUUAACCUAUUCUCAAACUUUAAAUAUGUAAGAACGAACCGUCUCUUAGUUGG
rnacentral:rRNA from 1 species